CCAAAGGCUCUCUUAAGAGCCACCUCCCAUAUUUCCGUCAAAAGGG
rfam:Salmo salar isolate Sally breed double haploid chromosome ssa12, whole genome shotgun sequence.